rnacentral:rRNA from 1 species
UGGUGGAGCGAUUUGUCUGGUUAAUUCCGAUAACGAACGAGACUCUAGCCUACUAAAUAGACUUGCAAUUGACACUGCAGUACUCUCCCACGGUAGGCCCAUGGGCCUCGGGUGCAUCUUGUUGGUCUGAGGGUUUCGGCUCUUAGGCUUGCAGGCUCUGCCUCGAGUAACCUAUGGGAUUCUCCGUGGAACGGGAUGCUGUAGCAUUGCAAGGACUUCUUAGAGGGACAAGCGGCGUUCGCAGCCGCACGAAACAGAGCAAUAACA